AUUCUGGGUGUUCUUCACUCCAGUUAUGGUCAGUGUGGCUAAAUCUUUUGAUGCUCCAAUAAAGGUGAUUUGUGGUCUGGAUCUGAAGGGGGAGUUAUCAAAGUAUGGUAUGGAGAAGCGAUUGAGAAGUCACUCGUUUCACAGAGAGAAGAAAAGCGGAUUCUCGCACUAAGGAGCUUCUAAAAGUGUUCAAUAUUGACGGCCAAGUUGAUACCCGUUUUGACAGCUUAUCUGCUCAGGAUCCAUAUAGCUAUGAAACAAAGCAAACCUUAUUCUCCUCUCCAAGGAAAGAGAAAGCUCGUAGUCCUGUUUGUUUCUUGCAGAGAUCACGAAAUGCUUUGUUGGGAGCAGCUGAUGCAGUCCGGAGAGUUGCUGUUAAAGCAGGUUUUGGAGAUGACACUCGAAGAAUAGAAGCAUUUACAAUGUCGGCAGAUGGGAUGAUCUGGACAGGAUCUGCGAAUGGCUCUCUUGCCCAAUGAGAUGGCAGUGGUAAUCGUCUGCGAGAGUUCCUGCAUCACUCAUCAUCUGUUCAAUGUAU